rnacentral:lncRNA from 1 species
AAAGCAAAGGUGCUGCUGGAGAGAGAGCUGUCUCCUUUUCCUGGUCUCGCAAGACAAUAGCCACACACAGAGAUGUCAAACUGGAAAGAGAACUGAUCCUUGUGGAACUCCAGAAAAUGAAAGGUUUGGAGCUGGAGGUUUCUGGGCAUGCUUUUUGGAUGCAUUCCUCAGGAAGCUGUCUACUGGUGAUGAACAGUAUACU